rnacentral:rRNA from 1 species
UAGGGAAUCUUCCACAAUGGGUGCAAACCUGAUGGAGCAAUGCCGCGUGAGUGAAGAAGGUCUUCGGAUCGUAAAGCUCUGUUGUUAGAGAAGAACACGUGCUAGGUAACUACUAGCGCCUUGACGGUAUCUAACCAGAAAGUCACGGCUAACUACGUGCCAGCAGCCGCGGCAAUACGUAGGUGACAAGCGUUGUCCGGAUUUAUUGGGCGUAAAGGGAGCGCAGGCGGUCUGUUUAGUCUAAUGUGAAAGCCCACGGCUUAACCGUGGAACGGCAUUGGAAACUGACAGACUUGAAUGUAGAAGAGGAAAAUGGAAUCCCAAGUGUAGCGGUGGAAUGCGUAGAUAUUUGGAGGAACACCAGUGGCGAAGGCGAUUUUCUGGUCUAACAUUGACGCUGAGGCUCGAAAGCGUGGGGAGCGAACAGGAUUAGAUACCCUGGUAGUCCACGCCGUAACGAUGAGUGCUAAGUGUUGGGGGCUUUCCGGCCCUCGGUGCUGGAGCUAACGUAUUAAGCACUCCGCCUGGGGAUUACGACCGCAAGGUUG